rnacentral:lncRNA from 1 species
CAUGGCAGAGAUAGAAUAAAAACAGAAAAAUGGCGACGGUCACGUUGUGGCGAGCCUUGCUGCGUCAUUAGAUAAUCCUCAUGCAAAUAGCGGGAAGAACAAAGGAAGGGGAGCCCGGGACCCCCGGGGGCGCAGGAUCCGGCGGGAGGAGUCUAAGAGGAGGAGGCGGCGGUGCCGGAGGAGGAGGAGGAGGGAGGGAGAAGAGAGGAAGACCGGAGUCCCCGCGGCGGCGGCGGUCCGGAGAGAGGGCGAGCCCCGCGCGGCGCCGGGGACCGGGCGCUACCACGAGGCCGGGACGCUGGAGUCUGGG